rnacentral:rRNA from 1 species
GUUGUUGUAGAGGACAUGAAAACUCCACAGUUAAUCGUGCUUAGGUGGGAGUAGUACCAGGAUGGGUGGCCUUUUGGGAAGUCUCCACCGCGACAACA